AUGCAAGUGUUAUCCGGAAUCACUGGGCGUAAAGCGUCUGUAGGUGGUUCGAAAAGUCCACUGUUAAAGAUUGAGGCUUAACUUCAAAAAUGCCGUGGAAACUUUCAAACUAGAGUAUGGUAGGGGUAGAGGGAAUUUCCAGUGGAGCGGUGAAAUGCGUAGAUAUUGGAAAGACCACCGAUGGCGAAGGCACUCUACUGGGCCAUUACUGACACUGAGAGACGAAAGCUAGGGGAGCAAAUGGG
rnacentral:rRNA from 1 species